CCCUAUGGGGUGCAGCAGGGGUAUCAGGGCAAGGUGCAGUUUUUGCUGCCAUUGUGCUUACUGGAUACGGAACGUACCGACCUUGCCAUGACGCUGACGCCCAUGGACGGCUAUUAUCUCGGCCAUACCUGCCUGACGCUGGAGAUGGCUUAUUUAAACGCGCGGCUGAUCGGCAGGCCGGUCGCUCCCUGGCUACUGGAACUCGUGACCUGAUCUUCCGGCUGCCGCCCUCCGGGGUUAAGGAUAAGCAAAACCCAACUGAAUAGGGCCUGGCGGGCGGCGCUUUUUGUGCCGUGCGCCGGGUCCUUUUUUUCGUGCGCUCAAAAAUGCGCCGAUUGUCUGGCUCUGAACGAAAGGAGCCGGACAAAUGGAACUGGUCAAAAUCACGUAUCGCUUUGCGGAUGGGCACGUCGAGGAAUUGGCGGGGGAGC
rnacentral:rRNA from 1 species